rnacentral:rRNA from 1 species
AUGGCGUCGGAGAUGAGCAAGGACGUGAAGUUCUCCGAGGAAGAAGUCACCUCGCACCCGCGUGUUCUCGGAGGUGAGGAUCAGACGGUUGUGCCGGCACGACAGUCUUCCAUCUUCGCGCUGACGUCGGACGAGCUGCAAUACUCGGUGUGCGAGGCAGGGCGCAACUUUGGGUCCAUGAACAUGGAUGAGUUCAUGAGCAACAUCUGGAAUGCCAAGGAGUUCCAAGCAGCGACCAGUGGUGUCUUGGUGGGCAUGGAGGUGGAUCCUGUGGUGGGUGCUGGUAGAGGCGGAGGUGGCGAAGAUGCAAGAGGAACCAACCUAGCCUGGCAGGAGUCAUUCUCCUUGCCUCCCCAGCUGUGCCAGGAGACGGUGGAGGAGGUGUGGACUGAGAUCAACAGGGAGCCCCGCCCGGUGCAUUCCCGGCCCCAGUCCGCGCGGCCUUCGCCGCAGAUUCCCGUCCAGCCACUGGCGGGAAAUGGUGGUGCGGUUGCGGCGAACGACCAGUGGGGGACGCUUGGACAGAUGACACUAGAGCAGUUCCUUGUCAAGAUCGGUGUGGUCCGGGGAUCUGGCACCGGCGGCCAGGCGACUGUGCCGGUCGGCAUGGUCCAUGGACAGAUGAACCUUGUGCAGCAGGGGCAACAGCCUAGCCCAGUGAUGUACCCGAUGGCACCGGCAAACGGCAUGUUCCAUGUGAUGGGCAACGGCAUGGGGUUCGUCCCCAACGGGUACGCAGGGAUCGUCGUGGUGCCGCCGCCACCACCUCCUCAAGGUGGGCUGGGUAUCGUGAGCCCAGGGUCGUCGGACGGGAGGAGCGCCAUGACGCAGGUUGACAUGAUGAACUCCAUGGGCGACGGAGCGAUGAUGGAGAACGGCAGCGCCCGGAAGCGCGCCGCUCCGGAGGAUCAGUCCUGUGAGAGGAGCAUCGAGCGCUGCCACCACCGCAUGAUAAAGAACCGUGAGUCAGCCGGACAAUCGCGUGCUAGGAAGCAGGCUUAUACCGUGGAGCUUGAAGCCGAACUGAACCACCUCAAGGAGGAGAACGCUCAUCUGAAAGCUAAGGAGAAGACGAUUUUGCUGACCAAGAAACAAAUGCUGGUGGAGAAGAUGAUGGAGCGGUCCAAGGAGAAUAUGAACGCCAAGAAGGGUGGUGCCCUGUCGCGGCGCUGCGGCAGCUGCAUCUGGUGA